rnacentral:rRNA from 13 species
GCUUACUGCCAUACCAGCCUGAAUACGCCCGAUCUCGUCCGAUCUCGGAAGCUAAGCAGGGUCGGGCCUGGUUAGUACUUGGAUGGGAGACCGCCUGGGAAUACCAGGUGCUGUAAGCG